rnacentral:lncRNA from 1 species
CUUGUGCCACGGUGGCCCAAAUGUCAGUCAACCAGACAUGUCUUCUGAGAGUUCCCAGGAAUGUGGUGAAGAGCAACUGUAAGCGAUAAGAUUGUUCCCAGCGCUAAUAAAACUUUGGAGUUAAUUAACUGAGAAGAAGGUAAAAUGAAAUGUUGUUAUGAGGGCUAAAGUUGUUUUUCUACCUUUUUGAAAAUUAUUUUUUAUCUGUUGAAAUUAUAAUAUAAUUAUCAUCUCUCCUUCUUUUUGCUCCCCUCUCAGAAAUUAACAGCCUUGAGUUGCAGGUGGAAGGUGCAGAAGCCAAAUUAAAAACAGUCUUUUCAGGCUGAGCUCAGGAGCCUGAAUUUCCAUGCUGUAAGUGGCUGGGAUCCACUGGAGGAUUUUAAUUGUGUAAGUUGACAAGAUCAGAUUUGCUAUUCAGAAAGCACACCCUGGCACAGAUCGGUGGGUGGAAUAGAAAGUGGUUGCCCUGGAGACAGGCAGACCCAUUAGGAAGCUCUGACAAAGAUCCAGGAGAGAGAAAAUGAGGAUAGUGGUUGGAGGAAUGAGCAGAUUCAAAGACAUUUUAGAGGUGGAACGGAUGGUCGGGAGACGCUCAUUCAGUGUAAAUGCUGAAGGAAAGGAAGAACCAAGGAGCGCUGUGGUUUCCAGCUUGGAUUUCUAUAUGGAUAGUGAAUAAUUAAUGAAGAUGUGGCGGGCGGGCAUAAUGGGGACUUAAGAGGGAGGUAGUUGUAGAUGGACGUGAUCAAUAUACAUUUGUUUAAAUGUGUAUAACUUUCAAAGAGUAAGAGAAUUAUUAUUUUAAUAGAUCAAGGUAUAAAAUACAAAAAAAAGUCAAAUGGGGGGGGGGGUUUGCUAAUGAAUUCAUAUGUGACCUGUUGAAUUUGAUGUAUCUUUUGGACUUGUAGGUGAAGAAGUCACAUGUGGUGAAUAUAUUAUCAUCAGAAUGCGGAGCAAUGAAAUGUAAACAGAUAGGAAUCGUCACUAAAGCUCCAACUGCAGCCUCCGGGUGCCAUAGCUUUUGCACCAUCCAUUUGCACCAUCUCUGCAGUAAGUCCUAGCUCAAGCCUUACUCCAAAGUACAAAUUAGCAUAGCAGCUCAGUCAACAAUGCCUCCGAGCUUCUGGAAAGAAAGAUGCUCAGUCACCAUAGACCCAGAAUUAAUGAAAAGUCACAGAAAUAAUAGCUCCAUUCUCUACUUGCUUCUGAACCUCAAAUCAGUGGUUGGCAACAAGUUGCUCUCAAUCACUGCCACGAGUCUGGUGAUGCGCUAAGCUCGGGGCAGGAUCUCAAGGGCUUUGAGGAUGUCUGCAUCAUCUGUAUUGACCUGCUCCCCAGAUUAAUACCGAAGCACUGCAAUUUCUUGAGGAUUAUCCACCUAGGAGGAAAUGAUACGCUGGCCCAUCCAUAGUAGUCAAGAAACAGUCUGAGAUCCAAAAAGUGGCUUAAAAGAGGGAAAAGUUAAUCAAAAUGUCUGUGAAGCUCUGGCUUCAGUCUCUCCAGCGAGGCUUUCUGAAGCACAGCUCUGAUAGAACUAAACCCAAUGAGACACCGCCUACAAGAGGAAUCCAGCGUGUGAACGAAGACUAAAAAGCAAAACAGCAGCGUCUGGAGUGGACAGCUUCUCUCACUCAGAGAACUGUAGCCUCAAAUUCCUGGCAGAGGUGAGACUAGAACUCAGUCUCAUGGUAUUGCCUACAGUUAACAACAUUAGUUGAAUUGUGUGUGUCUUAAUUUCACUUAUGUAAAUGGAAUGAACAGGUAGACAUGGUAGUGCGGGUCUGUCAUUCCGGCACCAGGGAGGCUGAGGCAGGAUAACAAUGUGUUAACAUUCCACCUGAUUUAUACAGUUAGUGUCAGACUAAUCUGAGCCAUAGGCUGAAAACUUGUCUCAAGUCAAUCAACGAAGAGAAGCAUAAAAAUAUCCCAACCAUCCUGAGAUUUUCAGUUUUAUAAGUAAAACAAGUCUAAGUCCAACAUGAGACUGCUAUUCAAACAAACAAACAAACAACAAACGCUGAAGAUGGGCCCAGGAGGGUCCUGCCAUUACUAGCAAAGGGCCGCCAUUACUAGGUCAAGGCCUAGACUCCGAUGUGAUUGGGUUGAGCAGGCAGCAUAGGCCUCAGUUUGCGGAAAAUGAAAAUGCAAGGUGCCUUUCUCAAAGUGAUUUUGAAUUUUAGCGGCUAGAGAGAGCAGAGUAUCAAACCACGAUGAAGGGCUUCUAGUUAUCACACACACACACACACACACACACACACAGAGAGAGAGAGAGAGAGAGAGAGAGAGAGAGAGAGAGGGAGAGAGAGAGAGAGACUCUGCCUUCACACUUGCUGACAACAAAAAUCACAUCGUCCUCCACACUCCCUGUGAGCACAGGAAGGACUACGUGAGGUCUCUGGAGUGUGAUAAGCUUCCCAUAGGAGACUAACCAGGAGAGAGCAUCUAUAUACCGAAUCUUAACUGUGCCUUUGCUUCUCAAAAUGAUAGCCUGCUGAUGCAAGGCUGUGAUUUCCUGAAUAUAUUCCCAUUUCUGUUGCCAGCCUUGUAUUCCCUAGGUUGUCCAAAAAAAAAAAAAAAGUUGUGGAUGUGAUGAUUCUUUUUUUUCUUUUUAUUAUGCUUCAGUGAGCUUUCAAACUUAGCUGGUCAGAAAUAAUGAAUUUAUGCGCGUACACACACACACACACACACACACACACACACACACACACACCUAGCCUACCUUAAUUUUAUCAGUUAAUAAAGAGAGCCAAACUAUUCAGAAUAUUUAAUACAAAGAACAAAAGAGUGGCACCGCCUGAAGAAUGUCAGCAGUGUUUUCAGCUCCGCCGCCCGCUCCGCCCUGUCUUGUUUUGCACUUUAUCUUCCUGGAGCCUUUCCAGGAGACAAAUCUUUCCAUCAGAAUCUUUGUGGGUUGAAGCCCGUGUCCUGUCAGGUUGUGUAUCAAAAUUUCUGGUGAAUUUUUCCUCCUCAAUAUUUCAGACCUAUAAAAAAGAUUUGCAAAGGCAGAACUCUAGAUAUUAUAAUCACUCCAAGCACAGAAAAAAAAAAGUGGUAAAAGUUUUUCUUUUUCCCACUGCUAAAUACAGAAUGUUCCUCUGUUAGGUACCCUUAACACUGACAAAGCAUAUAUUUUUGUUUUAUC